rnacentral:rRNA from 1 species
CAGGACGAACGCUGGCGGCGUGCCUAAUACAUGCAAGUCGAACGGUCUUUCUAUGGAAGCUUGCUCCACUGAAAAGAUAGUGGCGAACGGGUGAGUAACACGUGGGUAACCUGCCCAUAAGAGGGGGGAUAACAUCCGGAAACGGGUGCUAAUACCGCAUAGUUUUCUUGAUCGCAUGAUCGGGAAAGGAAAGACGGCCUUUGUGCUGUCGCUUAUGGACGGACCCGCGGCGUAUUAGUUAGUUGGUGAGGUAACGGCUCACCAAGACGAUGAUACGUAGCCGACCUGAGAGGGUGAUCGGCCACAUUGGGACUGAGACACGGCCCAAACUCCUACGGGAGGCAGCAGUAGGGAAUCUUCCGCAAUGGACGAAAGUCUGACGGAGCAACGCCGCGUGAGUGAAGAAAAGGGUUUUCGGAUCGUAAAACUCUGUUGUCAGAGAAGAACAAGUUGGAGAGUAACUGCUCCAGCCUUGACGGUAUCUGACCAGAAAGCCACGGCUAACUACGUGCCAGCAGCGGC